ensembl:lncRNA
GGAGAGAUAGAAAGGAAGGAUGAAGGGAGAUAUAGAGCGAGGGAUGACUGGAGGGAUAGAAGGAGGAUAGAAGGGAGGGAUAGAAAGGAGAGAUAGAAGGGAGGGAUGAAGGGAGAUAUAGAAGGGAGGGGUGAAUGGAGGGAUAGAAGGGAGAGAUAGAAGGGAGGAUAGAAGGGAGGGAUAGAAAGGAGAGAAAGAAGGGAGAGAUAGAAGGGAGGGAUGAAUUGAGGGAUAGAAGGGAGAGAUAGAAGGGAGAGAUGAAGGGAGGGAUGAAGGAAGAGAUAGAAGGGAGAGAUAGAAGGGAGGGGUGAAGGGAGAGAUAGAAGGGAGGGGUGAAGGGAGGGAUAGAAGGGAGAGAUAGAAGGGAGGGGUGAAGGGAGGGAUAGAAGGGAGAAAUAGAAUGGAGAAAUGGAAGGGAGGGAUGAAGG